rnacentral:lncRNA from 1 species
UUAUAUAAUUGGAGUACUAAGUGAUUGAAUUAUAUGAGUAGUUAUUAGAAGAUUACGAUUGUUGUUUAUUGAGAGUUGUGUGUGUUUCGACAGAGGAAGUCUGUGAUUACAGAAAUUAUGUGAAUUCAGAUUGGUUGGAGUGAAGUCUGUUAUUUCUAGUGUUGGAUGGAAAUUAUGUAUUUUGAGCAGUCUUUUGAGAAUGCAAUGUUGCACACUAUUGUUAUCAGUUGAUGAAGGAAUAUUGUUACUUGGAAAAAGCAUUGUAGUAUUUUUUGGUAUUUUAGUGGUUUAGAAUAUGGU